rnacentral:misc_RNA from 1 species
GAUGAAGAACGCAGCGAAAUGCGAUAAGUAAUGUGAAUUGCAGAAUUCAGUGAAUCAUCGAAUCUUUGAACGCACAUUGCGCCCCUUGGUAUUCCGAGGGGCAUGCCUUUUCGAGCGUCAUUAUAACCCUCAAGCUCAGCUUGGUGUUGGGGCCUGCUGCAGUGGCAGCCCUUAAAAUCAGUGGCGGCGCCAUCUGGCUCUAAGCGUAGUAAUUCUUCUCGCUAUGGAGUCCUGGUGGAUGCUUGCCAUCAACCCCCAAUUUUUCUAUGGUUGACCUCGGAUCAGGUAGGGAUACCCGCUGAACUUAAGCAUAUCAAUAAGCGGAGGA